UAGCUGAAGCUGCAUCCGAAGUCCUAUGGCAUAAAAAAUUUUAAAGAAGGAAACAAAAUUGAUUAAAAGACAAAAAUAAAAUAAAAACUGUAAAAAUUAAUGGGGUAUUUGUGCAGGAAAUGAAAAUGAUAUAUUUUGUUGUCCCUCCAAUCCAUGUGCAUUUUCACCUCACUGUCCGUUGCUCAUGCCCCACCCUUACAAGAUGCACCAGCAGUUAAUGUACAUUGGUGAAGCCAUGAGGUAAAGGAACCAUAAAUAUUUCUUUUAACUCUCAAAUAACGGAAUUGAAUUGGCUACAUUUUACUCCAAAAUAUUACUCAGAUCAGAGGAAUAAAUUUCACUCUUGACUAUUGGACCAUCCAAUUUUUCUAUUAAUCACAUUUCACUCUUGACUAUUGGACCAUCCAAUUUUUCUAUUAAUCAC
rnacentral:misc_RNA from 1 species